UUAAGAAUGUUUUUGCAGGAAUAAUUCAAGACUUCAAGACUCCAUGUCUAAGUCAUAGAGUCUGUAUUAAGGUUAUGAAAAUUGUAAUUUUUUGGUUAUUAGAUCGAUCAUGCAGGAGAUUAUCGUUUGGUGAUUGCGAUGAUCUUCUUUUUAUUUCUUUCUGAGUUGUGUACAAGCUUUGUAGCAUAUUUUAUCACGAAAUCGCCAAAGGGGGAGAUUGUUAAGGAUUUUAUAGGUUGGCGAAUUUCGUAAUGUUGAAUGGAGUCUUGAAGAGUUGAUCGCAGAAGUUUUGAAGAAAAGAUUCAAAUUGAAGAACAAAGACUCUUUCGGAAAGCUCGACACCUAAGGUAUGAAGAAAAGAUCAUUUGUGGUGAAGAUAUCUAAUUAGAAUAAGUUCAGAAGGCUUAGAUUGCUUUAAAACAAUUUUUCUGAACUUUCAUGUGUUCUGGAACCGGUC
rnacentral:lncRNA from 1 species